UAUAUAGACCAAGUGAAGCAUCUGAGUGUGAUUACUGGAGUGAGCGAAAAGUACCAGAAAUUUGUAGGUAGACACCAUCGAUAUAUCUGUCUAGACACAAUACUUUCUAUAACAAAUUAAUUGCACAUGAUGAUUGGGUAGUACAAUAUCUAAAUGGAGAGUAUCUAUCAAUAUGCAUCAAAUUUGUAUGCUUGUAAUUGUAGAAUCCAUGACUUAACAAAGUAGACAAACA
rnacentral:lncRNA from 1 species